AGACUCUGGCAAAUAUGCCAUCAGGUGAAUGGCUCGGCUCAAGUGCUGAAGAAGGACGUGCCAAGCUGCGAUAUGCCCCGGGAAGGUGCAAGGAACCAACGAACCGGGGAUUUCCUAAUGAGACCUCUUAGUAUCCGCAAGGAUACUGAUCAGUAAUGAUCGGGAACGUCCCGAAUUGAAACAUCUUAGUAGGGACAGGAAAAGAAAUCAAUCGAGAUGCCGGGAGUAACGGCGAGUGAAAUCGGUACAGUUCAAACCGAAUCCCCGCAGGAAUGCAGGGGAAAUGUGGUGUGGAAGGGCCGGUCCAUUUUCUGCUAAAUUCAGGGUAGUCGAAUUGUCUGGAACGUCAGACCAUAGAGUGUGAUAGUCACGUAGACGCAAUGAAACGCAGAAGGAUCGGUACCUGAGUACCGUGGGUUGGAUAUCCCGCGGGAAUCUGGGAGACAUCAACUUCCAAAACUAAAUACAACUUGAGACCGAUAGUGAAAUAGUAGGGUGACCGAAAGCUGAAAAGUACCCCAGAAAGGGAGGUGCAAAGUGCCUGAAACCUGAUGGUGAUGGAACGAUAUGGCAUUAAAGGAUCUGCAAUACGAAGGAAACCAUCGCGAGGUGGCAGUACGGGUAUUGUUGCCAGUGUCAUAUCAUACGUUUUGAAGAACGGGCCAGGGAGUGUAUCGGUACGGCGAUGGCUAACCUCAAAGGGUAGCCGAAGCGAAAGCAACAUGCACGCAGUCCUUAACCGGACCAGGUGCGACGUAUACAAGUGCGUGGAGUCGUAACGGUACGACCCGAAGCCGGGCGAUCUAGGCGUGGGCAGGUUGAAGCGUGGCGAAAGCUACGUGGAGGACCGCAAGCGGUAUUGAUCUGCAAAUCAUUCGUGUGACCUGCGUCUUGGAGUGAAAGGCUAAUCUAGCCCGGCAUCAGCUGGUUCCUUCCAAAACAUGUCGUAGCAUGACCUGAUCCGAGAUAGUCGGUGGAGUAGAGCACGGAUUGGGGAAGUUGGGGGGAGAAAUCCCUCGCUCUCCUGUCAAACUCCAAACACACCGUCGUCGAAGACAAUCAGAGUCCGGACUACUGGGGUAAGCCUGUAGUCCGUAAGGGAGACAACCCAGCCCGUGGUUAAGGUCCCCAAGUGUCGACUAAGUGUUAACACUAAAGGGUGUCCCAGGCCCUAGACAGCUGGAAGGUUAGCUUAGAAGCAGCUACCCUUUAAAGAGUGCGUAACAGCUCACCAGUCGAGGUUUGGGGCCCCGAAAAUGGACGGGGCUCAAGUCGACCACCGAGACCACGGAGUACCGAAAGGUAAUCUUGUAGGAAGGCGUUGCGCUCGGGCAGAAGCUGGGCUGUGAAGUCCAGUGGACCGUGCGGAAACGAAAAUCCUGGUAACAGUAACAGCAAAGUCAGGUGAGAAUCCUGACCGCCGAAGGGGCCAGGUUUCCUCGGCAAUGAUCGUCAGCCGAGGGUUAGUCGGUCCUAAGACGUACCGUAAUUCGAGUACGCCAAAAGGGAAACAGGUUAAUAUUCCUGUACCAUUUAACAACAAAACUGACACUCACGGGCAGGUUGAGCAGCGUCGUCGCGCUGUCCAAGCAUCCAAGCCGGUGGAGAGCCGUUAUGGCGAGAAACCGGUGAAUAUGUGAUGGCGAAAGUCAACUGCACCCGGGAGUCCGUGAAAAGGAAGUUAAAUGUCCGUACCAAGAUCUGACACAGGUGCCCCUAGCUGAAAAGGCUAAGGCGUGUCGGAAAUACACUGGCUAAGGGAAUUCGGCAAAUUGGCUCCGUAACUUCGGGAGAAGGAGUGCCUGCUGUGAAGACAGCAGGUCGCAGUGACCAGGGAGCUCCAACUGUCUAAUAACAACAUAGGAGAUCGCAAACCCGAAAGGGCUGGUACGAUCUCUGAAUCCUGCCCAGUGCAGGUACCUGAAACUCCGGUACAACGGAAAGAAGGGCCUGUAAACGGCGGGGGUAACUAUGACCCUCUUAAGGUAGCGUAGUACCUUGUCGCUUAAUUGGCGACUUGCAUGAAUGGAUCAAUGAGAGCUCUACUGUCCCUAGCCAGAAUCCGGUGAAGCUUACAUUCUAGUGCAGAGUCUAGAGACCUCUAGGGGGAAGUGAAGACCCCGUGGAGCUUUACUGCAGCCUGUCGUUGAGUUGUGAUUUCGCAUGUACAGUGUAGGUAGGAGGCGUCGAAACCCGCGCGCCAGCGUGGGUGGAGCCACCAAUGGGACACUACCCUUGUGAAAUUGCGACUCUAACUCCGCGAGGAGGACCCCGAUAGGUGGGCAGUUUGCCUGGGGGCGGGACGCCCUUGAAAAGAUAUCAAGGGCGCACAAAGGUUGACUCAGGUGGGUCGGAAACCCGCCGAAGAGUGCAAGAGCAUAAGUCAGCCUGACGUGAUCUGACACAGUAACAGAUCACGAGACGAAAGUCGGUUCUAGCGAACCUUUACGUCCUGCUUGAUGCGGGCUAAAGCUGACAGAAAAGUUACCCCGGGGAUAAUUGAGUCGUUGCCGGCAAGAGCACAUAUCGACCCGGCAGCUUGCUACCUCGAUGUCGGUUCUUUCCAUCCUGGCUGUGCAGCAGCAGCCAAGGGUGAGGUUGUUCGCCUAUUAAAGGAGAUCGUGAGCUGGGUUUAGACCGUCGUGAGACAGGUCGGUUACUAUCUACUAGAGGUGUAAGAAGUCUGAGGGUAAGUUGCUUUUAGUACGAGAGGAACAGGGCAACGGUGCCACUGGUGUAUCAGUUGUCCGACAGGGCAAUGCUGAGCAGCUACGCACUAAGGAAUAAGAGCUGAAUGCAUCUAAGCUCGAAAUCUAACCCGAAAAGAGACGUCACUAAGGAUACCGGUAAAAGACCGGAUUGAUAGAGUUGGGAUGUACGCAUCAAGGCAACGAGAUGUUAAGUCCGCGACCACUAACCAUCCGUGCCUGCUGCC
rfam:Methanosalsum zhilinae DSM 4017, complete genome.